GUCCUGUGUGCUAUACGAAAGCAGCUUGAGCGAGUCAGUUAGCGGUACCCUCCUCGGCCUCCGCAUCAGCUCCUGCCUCUGAGUUCCUACCCUAGCUGCUUCUGGCGGUGAGUUAUUAAAUGGAACUGUGAGAGGAAGAGACCCUCUCCAUCCCCACUUGCCCUUGGUCAUGGUGUUUCAUCAGUGAUGGCAGCCCCAACUAGGGCAGAAACUAGUGUCGGAAAAGUGGGGUACCGCUGGGACAGACCUGACCAUGCUGCUCUUUGGGGGACUGCUGUGGAAGGACUUUGGAACAUGAGUCUGGAGAAGUCAGUUCAGUGACCUGGCUGUUCUGUGUGAGCUUGGACAGUAAGGUGUUGAGAGGAAUCCAGAAGACGGGGAGGCCUGGCUUAUGGAGCUCCAGAGGAGAGUUUGAGAGUCACUUAAAGGCUCUCUCAGGGCUGUUUUCUGUUUUGAGUUAAGAUUCUGUGGUUUUGAUCAGCUGGGGCUGAGAAUGAGCUAUGAUUGCCCGGAGACUGACACCACUAAAAAAAAAAAAAAAAAACCCUUGUUUAGUGGUGCGAAUGGUGCUGGUGGGCUGGAGCUGAGAAACUAGUGGUGACUGAGACCAGCAUCACUGAGAUGGAAUCUUCUGGGCGGUGUUUCCCGAGAGUCAGGACACACAAAGAUGUGUGGCAGAGGCAGCCAAGGUUGCACGUCACGCUGGCAGCUGAACUUGGUAGUGUAAGAGUCACCCAGGUGGUCCUAGUUUUGAAGGCAUGGAGGGGUCAUGAAAAACAGCUGAAAGCUUGGCACGUGAGGGGCCAGGAGGGGCCGUUGAAGGUGCAGCUUCAGUAGCAGCUAAAAACCCAGGACUGGAGAGGCCAUGGCUUGGCACCAUGAAGAUAGCCCAAGAGAGGCCAUUGGUGAAAGUGCAGCCCAGUGGCCGCUGAGAUCCCAGCAUUUUGGAAAUGCCAGCACCAUUGGAGACCACUGAGAACAGCAGGAGUGGAGGAGACUCACCCUAACCCUGGGAGACAAACUUUGUGCUACAAGGGGCAGACCCAGCGAAGUGAGUGACUCAGGCCCUUUGGAGGAGCCCAGAAAACUCCAGUGAGGAAAAAAAAUCCAAGAAACAUUCUGGAUUCUCCCCAUGUCUUGUUUCACUCGGUUGAGCCAAGCAUCGUGUGGCUACCCUGUUUGGAGCACCCCGUAGGAUCAUCCUUCUCCUUCCGCUGCUGGAGUCCACUAACCCAGAGGCUGACUCCUCUCCCAUCUCGCUCGGGCUUCGUGGAUUUCAUAAAUACUAAAUAACUGUUGAAGCCAAUGAAGACAUAGGCAUGGAAGUAGAGGGUAUUAAAAACAUCCUCAAUGCCUGUUUGAUUUGAUCACGAACCCCCCCUCAAUCCCACACUUCUCCAGCUGGGCUUUCAGAGCUAACCCGUGCUUUCUUGGAGGCCCAUCGGGAUAGGUCACUCUCUGUGCGGUUUUCUGACGUGAGCGUUGCUCUCCACCCAUCGCGUUAGCUCUCCAGCCUGACUUUGUCCCUCUCCACCUUGUAUGCUGCCGUCUGGUUCCUUAUGUCAGACACCGAAGUGAGUGUUGUUCAGGAGAAGGCCAUGGCUGUCUCACACUGGCCUCGUCUUCAGUAAAACUGCUCACGCAAUACAACUUUGCAGAAUUAAAAUCUCACCCUUGAAAAUCUCUGGUGUGGACAGAAGUUUCAUACACAAUUAUCUACAGCAUUGAAGCACGUGGAUCCAGAUGUAGAACUCUUGGCUCCUUUUCCAACGCCAUGUUUGCCUGUCUUGCUACCACACCUCCCACCAUGCGGAUAAUGGACUAGACCUCUGAAACUGUUGGCCAGUCCCGAUUAAAAGCUUUCCUUUAACAUA